GACUGGGGUGAAGUCGUAACAAGGCAGCCGUAGGGGAACCUGCGGCUGGAUCACCUCCUUAAUCGA
rnacentral:rRNA from 1 species